GACGAACGCUGGCGGCGUGCUUAACACAUGCAAGUCGAACGGAAAGGCCCUGCUUUUGUGUGGUGCUCGAGUGGCGAACGGGUGAGUAACACGUGAGUAACCUGCCCUUGACUUUGGGAUAACUUCAGGAAACUGGGGCUAAUACCGGAUAGGAGCUCCUGCUGCAUGGUGGGGGUUGGAAAGUUUCGGCGGUUGGGGAUGGACUCGCGGCUUAUCAGCUUGUUGGUGGGGUAGUGGCUUACCAAGGCUUUGACGGGUAGCCGGCCUGCGAGGGUGACCGGCCACAUGGGGACUAAGAUACGGCCCAGACUCCUACGGGAGGCAGCAGCGGGAAAUAUUACACAAUGGGCCGAAGCCUGAUGCAGCAACGCCGCGUGCGGGAUGACGGCCUUCGGGUUGUAAACCGCUUUCACCUGUGACGAAGCGUGAGUGACGGUAAUGGGUAAAGAAGCACCGGCUAACUACGUG
rnacentral:rRNA from 1 species